CCGGGGCUUCUCCCGGU
rnacentral:tRNA from 1 species